UACGUGAGGGGCAAGCGUUGUCCGGAUUUAUUGGGCGUAAAGAGCGUGUAGGCGGCCAGGUAGGUCCGUUGUGAAAACUGGAGGCUUAACCUCCAGCUGUCGAUGGAAACCAUCUGGCUAGAGUCCGGAAGAGGAGAGUGGAAUUCCUGGUGUAGCGGUGAAAUGCGCAGAUAUCAGGAAGAACACCCGUGGCGAAGGCGGCUCUCUGGGACGGUACUGACGCUGAGACGCGAAAGCGUGGGGAGCGAACAGG
rnacentral:rRNA from 1 species